AGGAUAAACGCUGGCGGCGUGCAUGAGACAUGCAAGUCGAACGGACGAUCAGGGCUUGCUCUGAUCGUUAGUGGCGGACGGCUGAGUAACGCGUAGGUGACCUGCCCCGAAGUGGGGAAUAACUGCCCGAAAGGGUGGCUAAUACCGCAUGUGGUGGUGUGUUCAUUCACACCAGUAAAGCCGCAAGGCGCUUCGGGAGGGGCCUGCGUCCGAUUAGCUCGUUGGUGGGGUAACGGCUCACCAAGGCGACGAUCGGUAGGUGGUCUGAGAGGACGAUCACCCAGACUGGGACUGAGACACGGCCCAGACUCCUACGGGAGGCAGCAGUCGGGAAUUUUGCGCAAUGGACGAAAGUCUGACGCAGCAACGCCGCGUGAGGGAUGACGGCCUUCGGGUUGUAAACCGUCUUUAUCUAGGGACGAUAAUGACGGUACCUGAUGAAUAAGUCACGGCUAACUACGUGCCAGCAGCCGC
rnacentral:rRNA from 1 species